UCCCAUAUGGUCUAGUGGUUAGGACUCCUGAUUUUCACUCAGAUGGUCUGGGUUCAAAUCCCGGUAUGGGAA